rnacentral:rRNA from 1 species
UACAGAGGGUGCGAGCGUUGUUCGGAUUUAUUGGGCGUAAAGAGCGCGUAGGCGGUUUUGUAAGUCGGUGGUGAAAUCCCGGGGCUUAACCCUGGAAUUGCCCUCGAUACUGCAAGACUUGAGUGCGGGAGAGGAUAGUGGAAUUCCUAGUGUAGAGGUGAAAUUCGUAGAUAUUAGGAAGAACACCAGUGGCGAAGGCAGCUAUCUGGACCGCAACUGACGCUGAGGCGCGAAAGCGUGGGGAGCAAACAGG